rnacentral:rRNA from 1 species
GCAUGAAGCCGGAAUCGCUAGUAAUCGCGGAUCAGCAUGCCGCGGUGAAUACGUUCCCGGGCCUUGUACACACCGCCCGUCACACCACGAGAGUUUGCAACACCCGAAGUCGGUGAGGUAACCCUUACGGGAGCCAGCCGCCGAAGGUGGGGCAAAUGAUUGGGGUGAAGUCGUAACAAGGUAGCCGUAUCGGAAGGUGCGGCUGGAUCACCUCCUUU